AUGGGGUGCGGCUGUUUUAUAAAAAAAAAAGAAGAAACUAAUGCGAAGUUAAAUUGGAAAAACCUUGACUUCAAAAGAUCCUCCCGAUGUCCUUUCCUAUUCCCUUUGUCCUUUUCCUGGCCCCGUUCUGUGUUGUAUUGUUCCAAUAGGAACCAAAGCAAAGGCCUCAAGCUCGUUAUUUGGCUGAUCAGAAGCCUGGCAGGAAGGCAAAGAAGGUGGAAUGUGAGACAGUGUCCACUCCCCAGGAAGGCUUCCCUCCACCUGAGGAAGGACCCUACUUCUCUUCACACAGCAUAUUUAUGCUUCUUCUGCUUACUCCUUCCAUGGACAUUCACCCCACCACCAGUUCUGCACUGAUUUCCCAGGGAUUCCCAACCCUCUGCCUUCACCUUACUAAAUAGUCACUUGAUUAAACUCUCCUCAGAUUCUCCAGUGUGUAACUAAAAGAGUUUAACUGCAUUGUUUGUAACACAAAGGAUUAAUGCUUGAGGGGAUGGUUACCUCAUUCUCUGUGAUGUGAUUAUUAUGCCUGUAUCAAAACAUCCCAUGUACCCCAUAAAUAUAUACACCUACUAUGUACCCACAAAAAUUAAAAUUUUUAAUUUUUUUAAAAUAAUAUAAUAUAAAGUUACUGCAGUGCCCUCAUCAAUACAGAUACUUAUCUGUAAAACAGAUGAGCAGGAUUUAUGGACCUGUUCUUCAUACAAAAUGACUUCAUUAAAUAGUAUUUCAUCAGCUUUACGGUUGCUCGUGGAAUGUAAUCACAAACGGACCUGCAGCAGACCUUGUCAGUAUUCUACGUGUAACUCUCACAUCUCUUUGCUCAUGUCUUUCAUUUAUAUUAUCUGAGGUAGCACAUGCUCUCUUACUUGGAGACCUACCUCCAUCUGCCAGAACCCUUUUGACUACACACAGCAAAAGGCAAACAUGCCUAGAAAUGUCCAUACCCCAUCAUGACCGAUGGUGCAGUUGUAAAUACUUCAGCACCCUCAUCUCUGAUGGGAACAAAUCUAAGAAGUGACAGGCCUUAUAUCCAGAUCCUCUUGGCUGGAUGGAGCCACAGCAGUUUCCCAUGGAGUCUAACUGUAUAAUGCAAGCUUGCUUGGAUUUCUUCCCUCUCCUUCACUUCCUUUCCCAACCUGUUUCAGGUUCCCACCCAUCUAUGUGCUUUUCCUGGAUAUAUUUCCUAAUAAACCAUGUUCACCCAAAACCUCA
rnacentral:lncRNA from 13 species